rnacentral:rRNA from 1 species
AUGAACGCUGGCGGCGGUGCCUAAUACAUGCAAGUCGAACGGGAACCGGUACUUGUAUCGGGGAGAGUGGCGGACGGGUGAGUAACACGUAGGCGACCUGCCCUGAAGAGGGGGAUAACGCGGGGAAACCCGCGCUAACACCCCAUAAGCUCACGAGGCCUAGAAACUCAUGAGAAAAAAUUUAUUGCUUCAGGAGGGGCCUGCGGCCCAUCAGCUAGCUGGCGAGGGUAACGGCUCACCAGGGCAGUGACGGGUAGGGGGCCUGAGAGGGUGACCCCCCACAUGGGGACUGAGACACGGCCCCAACUCCUGCGGGAGGCAGCAGUAAGGGAUAUUGCACAAUGGGCGCAAGCCUGAUGCAGCAACGCCGCGUGCCCGAUGAAGGCUUUCGGGUCGUAAAGGGCUUUUCUGGCUGAAGAGAAACGGACGGUAAGCCAGGAAGAAGUGUCGGCUAACUACGUGCCAGCAGCCGCGGUAAAACGUAGGACGCAAGCGUUAUCCGGAGUUACUGGGCGUAAAGCGCGGGCAGGCGGUCAUUCAAGUGGGGUGUGAAAGCUCCCGGCUUAACCGGGAGAGGCCAAUUCCAGACUGGAUUGACUGGAGGAUGGUAGAGGUGCGUGGAAUUCCGGGUGGAGUGGUGAAAUGCGUAGAGAUCCGGAGGAAACACCAGAGGCGAAGGCGGCGCACCGGGCCAUAUCUGACGCUGAGCCGCGAAAGCCAGGGGAGCGAACGGGAUUAGAAACCCCGGUAGUCCUGGCCGUAAACGAUGUCCACUGGGUGUCGGGGGGUAUCCCUUCGGCGCCGCAGCCAACGCGAUAAGUGGACCGCCUGGGGAGUACGGUCGCAAGGCUAAAACUCAAAGGAAUUGACGGGGGCCCGCACAAGCAGCGGAGCGUGUGGUUUAAUUCGAGGCAAACGCGAAGAACCUUACCCGGGUUUGACAUGGCGGUGGUAGGGAACCGAAAGGGGACCGACCUUCGGGAGCCGUCACAGGUGCUGCAUGGCUGUCGUCAGCUCGUGCCGUGAGGUGUCAGGUUAAGUCCUGUAACGAGCGCAACCCUCGCUGCCAGUUACAAGUGUCUGGCGGGACUGCCGGGUGACAAACCGGAGGAAGGUGGGGAUGACGUCAAGUCAGCAUGGCCUUGAUUGCCCGGGGCGACACACACGCUACAAUGGCCGGUACAGCGGGAUGCCAACUCGCGAGAGGGAGCCAACCUCACAAAGCGGUCACAGUUCGGAUUGCAGGCUGCAACCGCCUGCAUGAAAGCCGGAGUUGCUAGUAACCGCCGGUCAGCCACACGGCGGUGAAUACGUUCCCGGGCCUUGUACACACGCCCGUCACGUCAUGGGAGCUGGUAACACCUGAAGUCGGGGGGCCACCGCAAGGAGGCAGCCGCCGAAGGUGGGACUGGUGGACCGGGACG